rnacentral:tRNA from 2 species
GGUAGGGUGACUGAGUGGCUAAAGGUGAGAGGUUGUAAACCUCUUGAGUUUUCUCAUCGCAGGUUCGAAUCCUGCCCGUGCCA